AGAACGAACGCUGGCGGCAUGCCUAACACAUGCAAGUCGAACGAGACCUUCGGGUCUAGUGGCGCACGGGUGCGUAACGCGUGGGAAUCUGCCCUUGGGUUCGAAUAACAGUUGGAAACGACUGCUAAUACCGGAUGAUGACGUAAGUCCAAAGAUUUAUCGCCCAGGGAUGACGCCCGCGUAGGAUUAGCUAGUUGGUGAAGGUAAGGCUCACCAAGGCGACGAUCCGUUAGCGUGUCUAGAGAGGA
rnacentral:rRNA from 1 species